AACCCAAACCCUGAUCAGAACCGUUUUAUCCCCUCUGCGUGCGAUCCAUUCAUCCUAUCAGUACACGUCAAUAACUGGAGUCUAAUACAGUUCUUCAUCUUUUCAUGGUCAUCAGAUAUGACCAUAUUUGGAUGUUCAGAGGCUCUGUAGUUACCAUGGAAACACCAUCAUCUUCUCCA